rnacentral:pre_miRNA from 1 species
CAACUACUCCCUCUGUCCCAAAUUUCUUGUCUUAGAUUUGUCCAGAUACGGAUGUAUCUAAUACUGAAAUGUGACUUGAUACAUUCGUAUCUAGACAAAUCCAAGACAAGAAUUUUGGGACGGAGGGAGUACUUU